GAUGAACGCUGGCGGCGUGCCUAAUACAUGCAAGUCGAGCGAACGGACGAGAAGCUUGCUUCUCUGAUGUUAGCGGCGGACGGGUGAGUAACACGUGGAUAACCUACCUAUAAGACUGGGAUAACUUCGGGAAACCGGAGCUAAUACCGGAUAAUAUUUUGAACCGCAUGGUUCAAAAGUGAAAGACGGUCUUGCUGUCACUUAUAGAUGGAUCCGCGCUGCAUUAGCUAGUUGGUAAGGUAACGGCUUACCAAGGCAACGAUGCAUAGCCGACCUGAGAGGGUGACCGGCCACACUGGAACUGAGACACGGUCCAGACUCCUACGGGAGGCAGCAGUAGGGAAUCUUCCGCAAUGGGCGAAAGCCUGGCGGAGCAACGCCGCGUGAGUGAUGUAGGUCUUCGGAUCGUAAAACUCUGUUAUUAGGGAAGAACAUAUGUGUAAGUAACUGUGCACAUCUUGACGGUACCUAAUCAGAAAGCCACGGCUAACUACGUGCCAGCAGCCGCGGUAAUACGUAGGUGGCAAGCGUUAUCCGGAAUUAUUGGGCGUAAAGCGCGCGUAGGCGGUUUUUUAAGUCUGAUGUGAAAGCCCACGGCUCAACCGUGGAGGGUCAUUGGAAACUGGAAAACUUGAGUGCAGAAGAGGAAAGUGGAAUUCCAUGUGUAGCGGUGAAAUGCGCAGAGAUAUGGAGGAACACCAGUGGCGAAGGCGACUUUCUGGUCUGUAACUGACGCUGAUGUGCGAAAGCGUGGGGAUCAAACAGGAUUAGAUACCCUGGUAGUCCACGCCGUAAACGAUGAGUGCUAAGUGUUAGGGGGUUUCCGCCCCUUAGUGCUGCAGCUAACGCAUUAAGCACUCCGCCUGGGGAGUACGACCGCAAGGUUGAAACUCAAAGGAAUUGACGGGGACCCGCACAAGCGGUGGAGCAUGUGGUUUAAUUCGAAGCAACGCGAAGAACCUUACCAAAUCUUGACAUCCUUUGACAACUCUAGAGAUAGAGCCUUCCCCUUCGGGGGACAAAGUGACAGGUGGUGCAUGGUUGUCGUCAGCUCGUGUCGUGAGAUGUUGGGUUAAGUCCCGCAACGAGCGCAACCCUUAAGCUUAGUUGCCAUCAUUAAGUUGGGCACUCUAAGUUGACUGCCGGUGACAAACCGGAGGAAGGUGGGGAUGACGUCAAAUCAUCAUGCCCCUUAUGAUUUGGGCUACACACGUGCUACAAUGGACAAUACAAAGGGCAGCGAAACCGCGAGGUCAAGCAAAUCCCAUAAAGUUGUUCUCAGUUCGGAUUGUAGUCUGCAACUCGACUACAUGAAGCUGGAAUCGCUAGUAAUCGUAGAUCAGCAUGCUACGGUGAAUACGUUCCCGGGUCU
rnacentral:rRNA from 1 species